AUUGAUGGAAGGUGGAAAUCGGCUAUAUGUCCUCACCGGCUAUAAAUGUAGCCACACCCCUCGGUUUCUAUCUGCUCUCCCUCCUUUCGCGCCACCAGAAUUUGUCACCUGUCACAACAGCUUCUCAGGUUCUUAUGCCAUGGAAAUUCAACGGAUGUUACAGCCUUUUCGUAAUAGAUCAUGUUAAAAAGCACGUGACUUUUAUCGACUUUACACCGACCCAAGAUUGGUAUAAGCACAUGCCAUACAAGAGGUUCGCAGAAGCGAUUAUCAUGGCCUUAAAGAAAUAUAAGAUUGCCUAUAGCAAGAAACGUUCUGGAUGGGAAGAGGAUAUUUUUAAGUGAAAACAUACAAUUUGGAAUGGUGUUCCAAGUGACUUAAGAGAGCUAAAUACCAGCUACCUCGUUCUAUAAGCUAUGACCAUAUGGGGAAUGAUAGACGAAUAAAAUUUAUUAGGGAUGCAAAGAUUUUUCGAAGGAACUUUGUGAUUGAUCUGUUAAGUUAUGAGGACAAUUCGUGUCGAUAUGUCAUCCCUGCAAACAUACAACAACGACUUAUCGAUAUUGCUAAAAAGGAUUAGUUUAGUGUAUGGUUGUCGACAUAUUUGUCUGUCAUUACAAAAUUCUAAAUUGACUCUUUAGAAAUAAUGUCUGGUAUUGAUAAUGUUUACCACA